UCCAUCGCCCUCAGCCUUGACGAUAGCCGCCUCCUCCUCCCUCCUCAACUCCUCCCUCAGCCCUUCAUCACCCCGCCUCUAGCAACCGCCACCGGCACUUCUAGCCGCCGGCGAGCCUCGUCGGAGCCCACCGAGACACCUUGACGACCCAGGCAACCUCCUCCCACCUCCGGCAAUCCCAGACAGCAGGGAAAGGCUCCGAACAGCGAGGAACAAGCCCGAUCGGCGAGCAGUUGCACUACAAAAACUGCAUCUUUGUGUCGAAUUUGCACGCAUUUUUCGAUCACCUCCGACCUCCGUUUUCGUCGAUUUCUUCUCCGAUGAGUAGCCCAAUAUAUUGUCUAUCACCUCCAAUUUGUAUCAUGCUCUAACUCACUCUCUAUCUCUCUCGGUAUCGUCUGAAACAUCGCUCGACGACAAGCAGUUCCCAGAUUCCGAUAGUUUUGUGCUGACUUCACACACGCUUUCCGAUCACCUCCGGUCUCUGUUUCCACCAUCGUCUUCGUCGGUGUGUAGCCCUUUAUAUUGUUUAUCACACGAACCUGUUGUGACCGGUGCAGCCACCCUGAUGAACCAUGCUGCCCCUCAACGUCCCCGAGGCAAGUCUCACUUCUUUCAGAUUUAGAGGACGGACAGAUUUAGCAAGAGCCAGAGUAUUCUUAGCAUGAGUGUUUUGGAGGCAGAGCAGAAGAAGAAGUCGAAGCAUAGUUAUUUCUUUUAAUUAGUUGACGGUCCUAGUUUACUUUAGUAGCACUUUCCAUUUCCACUUGAUCAAUGUAUUUUUAUAUUUCUCCAGUAUUUCAGUUGGAUAGUUUUGUAUCAGGGAAUGUUUGACCCAAAUAUUAUGUUUGGGAUAAUAUUUUAUUUGUGAUAUGGAUCAUUUUGUUCUGAGUUGUUUAUUAUAUUCUUGCUAAUUGUGAUCGGGGACUUGUGACUUCGUAUUAUAUUGCUUGACGUUUAGCGUAUUAGAUUGAGCAGAAAGGGUCUAGUACUUAUUUCUCCUCAGUCUGAUACGUCGCGGGCUUGUUCGCGUUCUAGUUCCCUGGUAUUUUGGGAAACGGGGUGUGACAGGUUUUCUUGGUGGCCCACGCAGGUCACAGUCCCGAAUUCCCACUAGUGAGAAUAUAAUGAAUAAUUUAGACGCAUAUCAUUAUUUCAUCCGUAAGACUAUACUUAAGCCCUUAUCCUAUUAUCUUGAUAAAUUAUAUUUUAGUCCCUACCUUACUCAAUUUCGAUUUUGAUUUUGACUUAACUUUCUUAUUCUUCCUGCAAUGAUUUUGAUUCUCGUUUUUCUCUUUCUUCGCCUUUCCUUCAGAACCAUAUUGGGUACAUGUAGCAAUGGUAACCCAUCUGGUAGUAGUGGCUCGCCGCCCGAAGUGGACUCGCGUCAACUUCUGGUAAUGAUUCAGGGACUGGAGAUGAAUCAACAGCAUCUGGCCAGGCACUUGCAGCGGGAGCCUCACCAGCCUUCCCCUCAUAUAGAGCUUGGUGUUAGAGAAUUCUGGUACAUACGACCUCCUUCUUUCUCUAGUGCUGAUUGAUCUCUAGCAGCAGAAGAAUUCCUUAAGGUUACUGAGACCAUUCUCACGGUGACCCGUAUUGCUCCUACGGAGUGGGUGGAUCUUAUGGACAUCCAGCUCACUGAUACUGCACGGAUUUGGUAGAUGGCUGAGAAGACCCAUCUUGAGAGGCCGAUUCUGUGGGAGACAUUCACGGAUCGCUUCAACGAGAAAUACUUUCCCCAGUCUGCCCAAGACGAGCUUCUGCGUCAAAUUGUCGAGCUCAAGUAGAGAGAUCGAUCGGUUGAUGAGUACGAAGCUGAGUUCUCCUCUCUUAGCUGAUACGCUCCUCACCUGGUUAUCGACCCCACCAUCAGGAGGCAUCAGUUCUAGAAGGGUCUAGACAAGUAUAUCAGGUCGGCUCUGGCUGGUAGGGCACUUACGACUCAUGACGCUGUACUGGAUGCAUCACGUGAGAUCGAGAGUAUCCAGAAGAAACCUGAAGACCUACAUGUGAUCAACAGUAGACCACCAAUAGCUCCAGCACAGAAUAUUGAGCGUCUCCCUCUGAGGCAGCAGACUCCGCAGAGGCAACAGUUUUCUCAGUGAUAACCACUUCCUUAGGGCCACCCCUAUCAGCGCUCUGGAGUGUAGACUCGCAACCAGCCUUCGGUGAAGUGUUCCUAUUGUGACUUCACUAGGCUUACCCAGCAGGAGUACCGCAAGCGUCUUCGUAUGUGCUACACUUGUGGAUCCCCCAGCCAUGUCAGUCAGGACUGUCCGCAGCGGCAGCAGGCCCGCUUGCCCCCACCUCCAGUUCGGGCAGCUCUUCCAGCUCCACCUCGACCAGGCCUAGUAGCACAGGCUCAACAAGGACCCUAUCCCCCAGCAGGGCCUUUUCUUCCAUAGAAGCAAGUUUAUCAAGAGGCGCGAAGGUAGCAACCACCACGUCAGACAUUCAUGUUGAUGGAUGUGGAAGCUGAGGCGAACGACCAGAUCAUUACUGGAGCUUCCCACUGUUUCUUGUCUCGCCGUUUCAUGACUACACAUUCUCUUCCUAUGACUUCUCUUUCCUCGGGCUAGAAUAUCAACAUUGGCAGUGGUGUCUUGGUGGUAUCCUGAUACGGAUGUACCUUCUCUUCGGGAGCUUAGCGAUCCUCAUGGGAGCUUGAGGAUAGAUGAUUCUCAUGGUAUCUUGAGAAUAGAGUAGAGGAGUCGUGGACGAGGUCAUUGGAGGUGGCGAAGUCGAAGGAUUCAUCAAAACUGUAGGAAUUACAGCUGGGCUCUGGCCGGUCGACCGACUUGGUCACAGCGGUCGACCGCGUAGUGCACAGACCCAGACUGUGUCUCUGGACUGAGAGCGGUUGACCGAUGUAGGCGCUGCGGUCAACCGGAAACCCUGUAAUCGAUUUUUCCAGAAAUCGAUGUUCUGGCUGGUCGACCGACUUGGUCUCAGCGGUCGACCACGUAGCGGUUAUGGGCCUGGGCCUGUUUCCUACACCGUUUAGGAUUUCUUUUUAGUAUAAAUAGAAACACGACUUGUCUAGGGUUGAUCACUCAGAUUGUAAUCAGAAAAGAGA